rnacentral:rRNA from 1 species
AUGACGGGUGUGAUGCCAAGGGUGCUUAGAGAAAUACUACUUGGUUUUGGGUCGAGAGGAAAAGCAGGAAAGCCCACGUAUGCCAGACCAGGUACCGACGUCGAAAGCCAAGUCGGUGUCGGUGGUAAUGCUGUUUUAGAAGUCAAUGUCAGUAACAACAACAACAAUACUUCAUCGUCUCGGCAAAACCAACACCACAAGUUGCAUCUUGCCCUUCUGUCCCUCUGUGUGACGGCAUGUGAGAAAUUACACCUCGAUGUCAAUGCAGUUUCGCCGGGAGAAGGAGACCAAGGAGAUCAAGGAGAAGGUGUCGCAUUCAGGUUUGCGACGAAGUUGGUACAGUUAAACAGGGAUCUCAUGACCGCCGACAGCCUGACAGUGAUGAAGCUUACGACCAGAAUGGUGAUAGCAACCGUGAAGAAACACAUGGUGGAUGGUCGCAGCACCAUCGCCAAACGAGCUGACCUGCAGAGCCUCAUGGAUUUGCUCUCCAGCGUUUCAGAGGACAUGCUGGAUCUUGAGAGCUGCAUGGUUUUUGCCACUGGAACAAGGACAACGACAAUUCCUGACAACACUGAAACCCUCGAUUCCAUCGUUAAACUGGCAUCGAAACUCCACGGCCAAAUUAGGGGCCAAGACUCUGAAAUAGAGCUAGCUAGC